rnacentral:rRNA from 1 species
GGGAAGCGAAGCCGCGAGGUGGAGCCAAUCCCAGCAAAGCCGGUCUCAGUUCGGAUUGCAGGCUGCAACUCGCCUGCAUGAAGUCGGAAUUGCUAGUAAUCGCGGAUCAGCAUGCCGCGGUGAAUACGUUCCCGGGUCUUGUACACACCGCCCGUCACACCACGAGAGUUUACAACACCCGAAGUCGGUGGGGUAACCCGCAAGGGGGCCAGCCGCCGAAGGUGGGGUAGAUGAUUGGGGUGAAGUCGUAACAAGGUAGCCGUAUCGGAAGGUGCGGCUGGAUCACCUCCUUUCUAUGGGGA